GAUCUUGGACCUUAUCUUCCUUGCUGCUGAUUAAGGUCACGAUUAAGUGAGGUGAAGUUCUGGAUUGUGAAGUAAACCCAGCAGAGAGGAUCAGUAGGCUGUGAGCUGUCCUGUUUCUGUGGAUUUAGAAUUGGGUGCUGUGGUGUUCUUGAUCCAACAUCAACAGGGGCUGUGAGCUUGAGGACUCUGAUUCGAGACGGGCGUCUCGACUUCGGAUUUGGAUUAU